GGGAGAGUAAGGAAGAAGGGGAACUUUAGGAAGGAGUUAAAAGAGACAAGGACUGAAGGAAAAGGAAGGAAAAGGCAGCUUAGGGAAAGAGGGCUUGGUCCCAUGGAACAGUGGUCCCCAACUUUUUGGCACAAGGGACAUGGAAGACAAUUUUGCAUGGACAGCAGGUAGGGGAUGGUUUCAGGAUGAUUCAAAUACAUUACAUUUAUUGGGCACUUUGGGGGCUUCCCUGGUGGCUCAGUGGUAAAGAACGCACCUGCAAUGCAGGAGCUGUAGGAAACAUGGGUUUGAUCCCUGGGUCAGGAAGAUCCCCUGAAGGAGGAAAGUAUUCUUUCCUGGAGACUCCCAUGGACAGAGGAGGCUGGUAGACCACAGUCCAUGGGGUUGCAAGAGUUGGAUAUGACUGAAGCGACUUAGCAGGCAUGCAUUGGGCACUUUAUUCUAUUAUUACAUCAGCUCCACAUCGAAUCAUCUGGCGUUAGAUCCUAAAGUUUGAGGACCCUCCACCUGGAAGACUCCUCUGGGUUCCAGGGAGUGUCCAUGUGUAGGCAUAAUCGGAGGCACCUCAGAGAAGGGAGGUUACCUCGAGGUGGCCAGGAUGUCUCAGGGAACAGGCAGGAUUUGAGCUGAACCCUGGAGGACAGAAAGAUUUUCAUAGCCAGGUAGAGGGGGUCAGUGAGGACACUUCAGGUGUAAGGCUGUGUGGUGAAUAAGCUGUGUUUUGGUCCUAGCCUCUGCUGCAUCCUCCUGUCUCCUUUACUGGCCGCCCUCCCCCACCCUCAACAGGGCUUCUGAGCCCAUCCUAGCAGUGGCCGUGGCCCCAUAUCCUUGCCCACAAGGCUGGAGCAUUUACUCAGGUCUGGGACUAGCCCUUCCUGGGGUCUGGAGGCGAUGGCAGACAGCCCUCACCCUGCCUUAAACAUCUACGCAGCGGAAGGUGAAUUUCACAUUUCCAAUUAUGACACAAUCUGCUUGGUGUGGAAGUGGGAGCCUGUUGACUUUAACAGCCCAGCUGUUCCUGUCUUCCGGACGAUAGUGAAAAUCUCUUCCGAGCAGAGGGGCGAACAGUCUGAAGUUCUGAUGGGAGUCCUCCCGGCUGCCACAGAAGAGCAGUUUGUUACGUUUCUGUUGAUGAGUGAGCUUGGAAGCUGACUGCUCGUAGCACCAGUGAGGCAGCCAUGAGCCCUUUGAAUUCAUUGUUCUCAUCCUUACUGAGGGACCUGGUGAGUCACUCUUGGAUCUGAACUCCACUUACUGUGUGCAGCUCUCCUAUCUAAAUAGCUUUAU
ensembl:lncRNA